UGAAUGUAGUCAAAGAAAUAGUCACAGAUAUUUUCGAUCCUUUGAUGAAACAAAUUCAAUGAACAUCAACUACAUGUAUAACGUUUUAUUCCCUGAGGCCUGCAUAUAUUGUAUACGAAAAACUGAGCGUUGUCUCCGAAAUAACGCUGAAAAAAUUUAUAAUUGUGCGAGUGGAGUUCAAGACGGUGCAGACUCUGAAAGUGACUAACCUUGUUAUCUACCGAAGUACCUGAAAGCUGUAGUGGAUCUUGUAGUGGAUACUCUUAUGACUCAAUGUCGUCUAAAUAUACACUAUUGACGAUGAACUAGCGCUGUUUUUAUAGUUUAGGUUUACUGAAUAAGAUUUUCUUUUUUAGCUAAGUUCUAUUACUUUAUCAAAAACUAAUGAAUUCUUGUACAGGAAACAAUUAUACUUCAAUUUUGUCUACAAUUAAAAUAAAAGAUGCUCUUAUUUAACAAAAA